GACGAACGCUGGCGGCGUGCUUAACACAUGCAAGUCGAACGGAAAGGCCCUGCUUUUGUGGGGUGCUCGAGUGGCGAACGGGUGAGCCACACGUGAGUAACCUGCCCACGACUGUGGGCUAACUUCAGGACACCGGGGCCAAUACAGGAUAGGAGCUACUGCUGCCUGGUGGGGGCUGGCAAGUUUCGGCGGUGGGGGAUGGACUGUAGGCUUAUCAGCCUGUUGUUGGGGUCGUGACUUACAAAGGCAUUGACGGGUAGCCGGCCUGACGAGGUGACGGGCCACAAUGGGGCGGAGGUGAGGCCCAGACGCCUACGGGAGGAAGCAGUGGGGAGUAUUGCACAGUGAGCGGAAGCCGGAUGCAGCAGCGCCGCGUGCGGGAUGACGGCCUUCGGGUGGUAGACCGCUUUCUCCUGUGACGAAGCGUGAAUGACGGUAACGGGGAAAUAAGCACCGGCUAACUACGUG
rnacentral:rRNA from 1 species